rnacentral:hammerhead_ribozyme from 1 species
ACCCAGCUAAUGAGUCCCAAAUAGGACGAAACGCGCGUUCUGGAU